UACCAGCUCUCCGAGUGGUGUGGAUGUUUAUUGGGCCUAAAGCAUCCGUAGCUGGCUGGACAAGUCCCCUGUUAAAUCCACCGAUUUAAUCGUUGGUGUGCGGGGGAUACUGUUCGGCUAGGGGACGGGAGAGGCAGACGGUAUUUUCGGGGUAGGGGUGAAAUCCUAUAAUCCCGGGAAGACCACCAGUGGCGAAGGCUGUCUGCUAGAACGCGCCCGACGGUGAGGGAUGAAAGCUGGGGGAGCGAACCGGAUUAGAUACCCGGGUAGUCCCAGCUGUAAACGAUGCAGGCUAGGUGUUUGGACGGCCACGUGCCGUUCUAGUGCCGCAGGGAAGCCGUUAAGCCUGCCGCCUGGGGAGUACGGCCGCAAGGCUGAAACUUAAGGGAAUUGGCGGGGGAGCACCACAAGGGGUGAAGCUUGCGGUUU
rnacentral:rRNA from 1 species